rnacentral:tRNA from 3 species
GGAGAGGUGACCGAGUGGUUUAAGGUAGCGGUUUGCUAAACCGCCAUACGGUUGAAAAGCUGUAUCCAGGGUUCGAAUCCCUGCCUCUCCGCCA